UACGUAGGGUGCGAGCGUUAAUCGGAAUUACUGGGCGUAAAGCGUGCGCAGGCGGUUUGUUGUGUCUGAUGUGAAAGCCCUGGGCUUAACCGGGGAAUGGCAUUGGAAACUGGCGAGCUGGAGUGUGGCAGAGGGGGGUGGAAUUCCGCGUGUAGCAGUGAAAUGCGUAGAGAUGCGGAGGAACACCGAUGGCGAAGGCAGCCCCCUGGGCCAACACUGACGCUCAGGCACGAAAGCGUGGGGAGCAAACAGG
rnacentral:rRNA from 1 species